rnacentral:hammerhead_ribozyme from 1 species
AUCCAGCUGACAAGUCUUAAAUAGGACGAAAUGUCAGCACGUCCUGGAU